rnacentral:rRNA from 1 species
UACAGAGGGUGCGAGCGUUGUCCGGAAUCACUGGGCGUAAAGGGCGCGUAGGUGGCUUGCCAAGCGUGUGGUGAAAGCCCGGAGCUCAACUCCGGGUCUGCCAUGCGAACUGGCAGGCUUGAGCACGGUAGAGGCCAAUGGAAUUCCGGGUGUAGCGGUGGAAUGCGUAGAGAUCCGGAAGAACACCGGUGGCGAAGGCGGCAUUCUGGACCGAAACUGACGCUGAGGCGCGAAAGCCAGGGGAGCAAACGGG